GAUGAAGAACGUAGCGAAAUGCGAUAAGUAAUGCGAAUUGCAGAAUUCCAGUGAAUCAUCGAAUCUUUGAACGCACAUUGCGCCCCCUGGUAUUCCGGGGGGCAUGCCUGUCCGAGCGUCAUUACAACCCUCAAGCUCAGCUUGGUGUUGGGCCCCGCCGCCCCGGCGGGCCCUAAAGUCAGUGGCGGUGCCGUCCGGCUCCGAGCGUAGUAAUUCUUCUCGCUCUGGAGGUCCGGUCGUGUGCUCGCCAGCAACCCCCAAUUUUUUUCAGGUUGACCUCGGAUCAGGUAGGGAUACCCGCUGAACUUAAGCAUAUCAAUAAGCGGAGGA
rnacentral:misc_RNA from 1 species